CCGUUUUAGAAGUUCAGACGAAAAAAACAGAUUAUGGUUAAAAUUUAACCGUAAUCCUAAAUGAAAACAAGGAAGAAAAUUAACUGUUGUCGGGUGCUAGUGCCGGUGUAUACUGUUUGGCUCCACUUGGUACCUUCGCUGGCUGGGAAUGAACUGCGAUCGAAGAACUAGGAGAGGCCGUAAGUGGAAUCGGAACAAAUGUUAGCAGCUCCGAGCAGAUUCCACCAUGUUCAAAAAUAUCUCUGCCAAGAAGAAAGCGACGAGCAGCUGACCAGAAGUGCUAUCCGAAUAUGAACAAGAGCGACCCGGAUGUGGGGCGCAAGUUGUUUCCGUAGUACCAAGGUCCUGAGCGACGACAAUCGCGGUCCUUGGUAUUUCGGCACAGGUGGAAGAGCUGAUGGUUGCCCGGAUCAAUUCCGUUGUAACUAUUGAUCCGGAACAAUUUUUCCGGAUAUUUUUUCCCGAUUCGGCGUUGUUGGAGAUCAGAACAUCAGGAAUCCCGCGCACUCCUCUGCAGGCAGCGCAAUGUCAUUCACAAAACGGAAUGCAAACGAAAAAGUCCCGAUUUUUUUUUAAUUAUACUUGAGAUAAAUAAAGCAGGAUCAGGAACAUGAUUUA